rnacentral:rRNA from 1 species
AUUGAACGCUGGCGGCAGGCCUAACACAUGCAAGUCGAGCGAGCGGCGGACGGGUGAGUAAUGUAUGGGGACUGCCCGAUAGAGGGGGAUAACUACUGGAAACGGUGGCUAAUACCGCAUACUAUCGGAUAACCCAUAUGGGAUUAGCUAGUAGGUGGGGUAAAGGCUCACCUAGGCGACGAUCUCUAGCUGGUCUGAGAGGAUGAUUGGCCAAACUGGGAUUGAGACACGGCACAUACUCAUCCGGGGGCAGCAGGGGGGAAUAUUGGACAAUGGGCGCAAGCCUGAUGCAGCAAUGCCGCGUGUAUGAAGAAGGCCUUAGGGUUGUAAAGUACUUUCAGCGUGGAGGCGUUACCCGCAGAAGAAGCACCGGCUAACUCCGUGCCAGCAGCCGCGGUAAUAC